rnacentral:tRNA from 1 species
CGGGCUGUAGUUCAGAUGGCUAGAAUGCACGCAUGGGGUGCGUGAGGUCGUGGGUUCGAGUCCCGCCAGCCCGA